UUAGAAGUACGAGGUGACCUUGAACACGGGGAUUGGAGAGCGAUGUUCCCUAUUAGGACUGUAUGAUGCUGCUCCCAUGACGACCUCGAGUUUUCCCAACAAAUUCAAAUGUGGCUCAUGGCAGGAAUCCAGAGUUUGUCACGCUUGGGGAAUGAUCAUGUGCACCGACGCAAUGAAGUUUGUUCGGGGGAAAAAACUCAAAAGACAGUGGUAUUAGAUUAGGGCCAGAAAGAUAGUCUAAAAGGCUAAUGAGGAAAACCAGAGGAUCUGCAAGAAGCUGAAUAAUCCAAGACUUGACAGAGAAGCAUGUGAUUGUAGCAGUCGUUUGAGGACAUGAGGGAAAGAAAACCAUCCUGCCACAACAGAUGGACAGUGAAUUUCCUCCCUACAGAUGUCAUCUGAAAUAUCAUGGCAAAUGAUGCAGGAUGUAAUAGAGAAUCUGCUGCCGAAAUAACUGCUUAACAAUUCUACUGCUCAUGACGUCAUGCUGUGUGAGGAUGCACUUUAAUGCUCACCUAAGCAUGUUAGAUUAGUUUAAUGUUGGAGAUAUUUCAUAAAAUAAAUCCCGACCUGCUGGUUGUAUCAAAUCGUAUUUUCCCUCGGCUGAAUAUUUCCAUAUGAGCGAAUCUCGUACGAUAAUGUCAGGCCUGCGUCGCUCUGGAUAAUCCCAACAGGGGCCGUCGUGUAACAUCACCUUUCCUAUACAGAUAGAUCCAACACUUCGCCUCCUUCACUCCUUUCAUCCUCUCCGCUCCUCAUCUGACUCUGAUCUUCCUGGUUUACUUUAUUCAGGGAGGUCUCUGAGUGAUGGGGGGCUUUUGUGGGAUGAACGGAUCUGAAGAUAAAAGGCCAUUUGAAAACAGCAGAGACGCAGCCGACGCGCUAUCAAAUAAAUUGGGACGACACCUCUCUGGUCCCGUCAGAAACUACCUGCUUGCCCCCCCCCCACCUCCACCUGCCAGUUCGGAUGAGUAAGCGGACCACUGACGAAGCUGUGACGUCACUUUCCUCGCAAUCCUCAGGAAAGACUCUAACGGACAUCCAAGCUUUUUCUCUCCUUUUUUUCCCCCCCUGCUCUCAAUCUCCCCCCUUUAAUCAGCACUUGGUGUGCUUAUUUAGAGUGAGUGAUUGCCUGUAAUGUGCUCUGGCACCGAGAGGCCGGAGCCCAGGCCCUCGUUUAAAACCAUAGAUCUCGUCCCACCGCCAUGGCGCUGGCUCUCUAGGUGUGAGUGAUGAUCUCCAUAUGCCCGGGCUUACCCCUAUUCUCACCAGCGAGGCUCCGCGUAUUAGUCAUGGCUGCAUGCCAUUAUCGCCAUGUGUCAAGCGCACACCUGGUGUGUGUCUGUGUGUGUGUGUGUGUGUGUGUGUGUGUGUUCCCUGUUGCUGUCGCCUCAUUGCCUCACUAGAGCACUGACUCACCUUCUUGGUCGUGUUCAUUUUUUGCCACAGCUGCUCACUGGUUGUUUACAGGGACACUGCCUGCACCUCUGAACUCCCCUGAGCUGCACCUCCUGACACACAAACGGCAUCAGUGGAAGCGUCACAGUACAAAUUCCUUGUAUGUCCAACACACUUGGCAAUAAACGGUUCUGAUUCUGAUACCAUGGUGCACAUGGAUGAUGAGGACUGAGGAGGAAAGUAAGCGCGCUGAGGGUUUGUGGCUGUCCCUUUGUGUGCCCUGACUGCCACAUUAAAAGGUCUGCAUUUAAAAUGCCAUGGUUUAAAGAUUUAUUCAUUUAUUCAUCAAACAUUACAUUUUGUCGUUAAAGCAAUUUUAACAAGACAAGAGUAAAAAGAAGGAAAAAAAACCCCUCAAUUUUGAAUCAUGUUUUUGACGUCAUGGUAACGUGGUUCAUAAAUGUCAAUGUCAAAGAACUGUCCCGUUCCUUUUUACACAGUUUGGUUCAGGGUUCAGGGGAGACGUUUGGGAUCGGGGGCAAAUGCCACAGCGCUUCCGUUUUUGUUUAGAGGGAGAAUGAACCCACUUGAUGAACAUUGUGGAGCCUGUCGUUUGUUUACGCUGUUGAAAUGUAUUGCGUUAUAACCGCACUGCAACUUUUAUUCUGCAUUUAGCUUGUUGUGCAUAUACAAUAAAAC
ensembl:lncRNA